rnacentral:lncRNA from 1 species
UAUUCUAUAAAAUUAUUGAAAAUUAUUUAUUUAUUUUACAUAAAAUUUAUACUCGCGAAUGAUUAAUAUUACAUUAGGUUGCCAACUAUCGAUCAUUUCUAUGCCUGUUGUUAAUUAAAUAUGAAUGGAACAUUUAUCAAUGUCACGAAUUAAUUACAUUAAAAAAUGUAAACUACUUUUUGAAGGAAUAACAAACAUGUUCAGCAAAUUUUCAUACGCCAUCUUUUUUACUAUAAAACAUCCGUCAAUAAUUAAUCAAAUAUAGUGACAAGUUGAAAAAAAAAACUAUUUAUAGUAUGACUAUAAUUUCCAUUCCAAAAAAAGGAAGAAAAAGAACAACUCGAACGUACACAGAGUUUAAUUAAUAAUACAUUUGCCAUCGAGCAAAACAUUCUGCAAGCAUCAAUGCAUGAUGCACGAAAAUUCUCUCGAAAGGAAAAAAUCCUCGAUUCGUACAUCACCCGGAUGAUUCCCCGGAAAAGAACAUCGAGACAAUAAUGGAGAAGCGAUUCCAGCCCAAGAUUUAUGCGUUUUCACGGUGACGGGAACGUGGCUCGAGUUUUGCAUAUCGAUCUAACUCGUCCCAAUCACUCGUGGGAAGGAAAGGAUUCCAACGAAUCUUUUGUUUUUUUAAACGAGGCGGAAGGAAAAUUUCGAGAGAGGAAAGUAAGAAAUGUAUUUCCAUGGAACGAGAAGAUCACACCUUCUCGUCGUGGAGACACGAUAUAGGUCAACUCUCGAGGAAGAGGAAAGGGAGAGGAGAGAGAAAAAAAAGGGUGCUACAUAUUCACUUGGAGAGAAAGGGGUGGGAUGGGGGGCCGAUGAAAGGUCGUCUCACCUUUGGUAAGCAACCUGAGAAAUUCGUGUCAACGUGUGUGGAAAAUAGAGCACGAGAAACAAUAUCGAUUCGAGGAGGAACGAUCGUGGCUGGCCGCCGAUGGGGAAGAAUCUCGAGGAGAGAAGAGGGGUGGUAAUUUGCUGUUACGAUGCUCGAAGCAAUGGAUGAUUGGUUCAGCAAAAUCUGGAAAAGGAAAUCUGGGAAAAGUAGCCUUGUUUUCGAAUUAUAAUAAAAUAUUUCUGGGUUAAUUUUGCUGAAAUAUCGUGAAACCAAGGAAUUAUCUAUAAUCUGAAUGAUUUGGAAAGAGAGAUGUGAGAUGUACGAAGGAAAAAGUGUUUCUUCUCGUCAAAUCUUCUUCUCGCAACUUCAAUGACAUCAAAUCUUGAUCCUAUUUCGGAGAAAGAAGAUUUGCAAAAAUCUCACGCGUCGUUCUUAUAUAUGAUAUAUUUGUAGCACAAUAUGGGUCAACCCGAAUGCUCGCUUGAUGCCUCGUUCAUCGCAAGAGUUUCCUCCUAGAUAGGAAACGCGGAUGGAAAAUAACUUCUCUCUUUCUCAAUAGAAGCCUGAGAACAGAAUAAUGCAAAGCAUACAGACAAACGAUUCUUUACUUAUCCACCGUCAAAGAAACGCGAACGUUUUAUUAUUAAGAAUCAACAAAGGAUAUCGAUAUAUGCCGCCCCCGUAUAUAUCGUUAAAUUUAAUUAAUUUUAAUCGACGUGAAUUAAUAAAAACUGAUUAAUUUAAGAGCGCGCAUAAACACUUUUUUAACUCCAUUGUGUAAUAAAUAUUUUCUUUGUUAUCCAGAAAUUUAUUGACACGGAUAUCCCGUCCCAAACGACGUAUCGUUUUUUUAAAACGAUCCUGUGUGUGUGUAAAAGGAUUAAUCAAAGGAGGGAUUAAUUAUUCGGGGGAAAAAAAAAACUCGAUCGAAAAAAGAAAAUAACUAGCGGCGACAGAACUGUAAGUAGAACUUUGCUUCGCUUGGCGGACGACACACAGUAAAAGAGACGAUAUAGGGCCAGACAUUGGACUUUCAUGAAGUCUCUCGUUAACCGGCGAAUCAAGCUGGAACUUUCUGCUUAUACAAUAAGUUCCUAAAUGCUGGAAUCUUGAUUGUUUUAAAGUACUUAUCCUUGUCCUGGAACUUUGACCGGAAUGAAAAUUACCAUCAUGGUUAUUUAGAAUUAAUUUGGAAUUUAGAAAUUAUUCCUCAUAUUUGGUAGAAUUAUCGUGUUAAUUUUAUAUAAAAGUUUAACAUAUUUCGUAAACAAAAUCGUUGAAAGAACGUCGAAAGGAAUUUUUAAUUGUACAAUCAUAAUAUACAUACAUCCUUUAUUUAUUGAAGAAUACCGAAGGCAAAAAAAUUUUCACAAAAAUUUGCAUGUAUCACAAGGCUACCAGUAUCGGCAUCCUACGAAAAAAAAAAAAA